GCCAGGUGUGGUGUCGCAUGCCUGUGGUCCCAACCACUCGGGAAGCUGAGGUGGGAGGAUCACUUGAGCCCAGGAAGUCGAGGCUGCAGUGAGCCCUGUUUGCGCCACUGCACUCCAGCCUGGGCAACAGAGUGAGACCCUGUCUCAA
ensembl:misc_RNA Metazoa_SRP Metazoan signal recognition particle RNA